GCGGCGUGCCUAAUACAUGCAAGUCGAGCGGACAGAAGGGAACUUGCUUCCGGAUCUAGCGGCGGACGGGUGAGUAACACGUGGGUAACCUGCCUGUAAGACUGGGAUAACUCCGGGAAACCGGAGCUAAUACCGGAUAGUUCCUUGAACCGCAUGGUUCAAGGAUGAAAGACGGUUUCGGCUGUCACUUACAGAUGGACCCGCGGCGCAUAGCUAGUUGGUGAGGUAACGGCUCACCAAGGCGACGAUGCGUAGCCGACCUGAGAGGGUGAUCGGCCACACUGGGACUGAGACACGGCCCAGACUCCUACGGGAGGCAGCAGUAGGGAAUCUUCCGCAAUGGACGAAAGUCUGACGGAGCAACGCCGCGUGAGUGAUGAAGGUUUUCGGAUCGUAAAGCUCUGUUGUUAGGGAAGAACAAGUGCAAGAGUAACUGCUUGCACCUUGACGGUACCUAACCAGAAAGCCACGGCUAACUACGUGCCAGCAGCCGCGGUAAUACGUAGGUGGCAAGCGUUGUCCGGAAUUAUUGGGCGUAAAGGGCUCGCAGGCGGUUUCUUAAGUCUGAUGUGAAAGCCCCCGGCUCAACCGGGGAGGGUCAUUGGAAACUGGGAAACUUGAGUGCAGAAGAGGAGAGUGGAAUUCCACGUGUAGCGGUGAAAUGCGUAGAGAUGUGGAGGAACACCAGUGGCGAAGGCGACUCUCUGGUCUGUAACUGACGCUGAGGAGCGAAAGCGUGGGGAGCGAACAGGAUUAGAUACCCUGGUAGUCCACGCCGUAAACGAUGAGUGCUAAGUGUUAGGGGGUUUCCGCCCCUUAGUGCUGCAGCUAACGCAUUAAGCACUCCGCCUGGGGAGUACGGUCGCAAGACUGAAACUCAAAGGAAUUGACGGGGGCCCGCACAAGCGGUGGAGCAUGUGGUUUAAUUCGAAGCAACGCGAAGAACCUUACCAGGUCUUGACAUCCUCUGACAACCCUAGAGAUAGGGCUUUCCCUUCGGGGACAGAGUG
rnacentral:rRNA from 1 species